GAUGAACGCUGGCGGCGUGCUUAACACAUGCAAGUCGAACGAAGCAUUUAAGACAGAUUACUUCGGUUUGAAGUCUUUUAUGACUGAGUGGCGGACGGGUGAGUACGCGUGGGUAACCUGCCUCAUACAGGGGGAUAGCAGCUGGAAACGGCUGGUAAUACCGCAUAAGCGCACAGUACCACAUGGUACAGUGUGAAAAACUCCGGUGGUAUGAGAUGGACCCGCGUCUGAUUAGCUUGUUGGCGGGGUAACGGCCCACCAAGGCGACGAUCAGUAGCCGACCUGAGAGGGUGACCGGCCACAUUGGGACUGAGACACGGCCCAGACUCCUACGGGAGGCAGCAGUGGGGAAUAUUGCACAAUGGAGGAAACUCUGAUGCAGCGACGCCGCGUGAGUGAAGAAGUAGUUCGCUAUGUAAAGCUCUAUCAGCAGGGAAGAUAGUGACGGUACCUGACGAAGAAGCUCCGGCUAAAUACGUG
rnacentral:rRNA from 1 species